rnacentral:tRNA from 1 species
CCUUCGAUAGCUCAGUUGGUAGAGCGGUGGACUGUAGUACGACAUUUGCAGUUGCAGUUGUUGGGGUCGAUGAUCAUUUAUCGAUCAUCUCUUCCUACAGCAGUGACUCCAAAGCAAUAGCUAUCCAUAGGUCACUGGUUCAAAUCCGGUUCGAAGGA